GGGAUAUAUAACUUUCAUUCUAAUCGGGUCUUGAGCUAUAGCCAAUAGUGCAAUAACAACUGAACUGGCUAGUGAAGAUGCCGAUGAUAGCUGUUGGCAGUAUCGGAGACUCUUUCAGUAUUGGUUCCAUCAAGGCCUAUCUAUCUGAGUUCAUUGCUACUCUUCUUUUCGUUUUUGCUGGUGUUGGUUCUGCUAUUGCUUACAGUAAGCUUACAGCAGACGCAGCUCUAGACCCACCUGGCCUGGUGGCUGUGGCCGUGGCUCAUGCUUUUGCACUGUUUGUUGGGGUAGCCAUUGCAGCCAACAUCUCAGGUGGACACUUGAAUCCAGCUGUCACCUUUGGAUUGGCUGUUGGAGGCAACAUCACCAUCUUAACUGGCAUUUUCUAUUGGAUAGCCCAGUGCCUUGGCUCCAUCGUGGCCUGUCUCCUCCUCCAAUUCGUGACUAAUGGCAAGAGUGUCCCAACCCAUGGAGUUGCAUCCGGCAUGAAUGCUUUUGAAGGAGUAAUAAUGGAGAUUAUCAUUACCUUUGCACUGGUGUACACGGUUUAUGCCACAGCUGCUGACCCCAAGAAGGGCAAUUUGGGAAUUAUAGCACCCAUUGCAAUUGGGUUCAUAGUUGGUGCAAACAUCUUAGCUGCCGGUCCAUUUAGCGGCGGAUCGAUGAACCCAGCCCGAUCAUUUGGCCCAGCUGUGGUAAGCGGAGACUUCUCAGAGAACUGGAUCUACUGGGUUGGUCCAUUAAUUGGUGGCGGGCUGGCUGGGCUUGUUUAUGGUCAAAUUUUCAUUGGGUCAUACGUCCCAGCCCCAUCUUCUGAAGACUAUGCCUAAAUUAGCUGUUGGCAUUUUGCUUGCUUUUGUGUCUCAUCUGGUUUCUUACUUUUGGGUGUGGGCUUGAAGAGAGUGUGCUUUGUACUUCAUAAUAAUGAAAAUGUAAAUAAUAAAUCCAAAUUGAGUUUUCAAAUCUUCUUUUUAUUAUAUUUUUCAUUUAGUUGUUUUUAUUUGUAUGGUUAUUGUUUUUUAUUAAAUGAUUCGCUGGUAUAUAUAAAUGCUUUCAAGAUCACUGUUAUUUGAUAUGCCCACAUCAUUCUCCAUGGAAAAGAAAAGAAUUUCAAGAAAUUAUUAAGAGCACAAACUACUAACGUCUUCUCUAGGAUUGAUUUCACUUGAAAUCUUGAUUAUAAUAUGUGGGAGUUUUGUCUCUAUAUAUAAACUAAAUUUUGC
rnacentral:misc_RNA from 1 species